ensembl:lncRNA
AGGACAUCAGGUGGGUGUUGGGCAGAACCCCUAGGUCCUGGAGAACAGGUAACGGAGGACAUCGGUGGAUCUGGGUGUUGGGUUGAACCCCCUAGGUCCUGGAGAACAUCAGUUGGGUUUGGGUGUUGGGCAGAACCCCCUAGGUCCUGGAGAACAUCAGUUGGGUCUGGGUGUUGGGUUGAACCCCCUAGGUCCUGGAGAACAUCAGUUGGGUCUGGGUGUUGGGCAGAACCCCCUAGGUCCUGGAGAACAUCAGGUGGGUGUUGGGCAGAACCCCCUAGGUCCUGGAGAACAUCAGUUGGGUCUGGGUGUUGGGUUGAACCCCCUAGGUCCUGGAGAACAUCAGUUGGGUCUGGGUGUUGGGCAGAACCCCUAGGUCCUGGAGAUCAAGAGCAGAGUUAGAGGUUAGGAGACAGACGUCAACAAGCAAACACACAGUUUACACUUUACUGGGAGAACAUUUUGAUGGAUUAGUGCAGUGUUAUAAAUGGGAGAUAUUUACUUUUCAACACUUGGAUGGUACAGCCUACCUCAAGCUGGUCCCCCUCUGACUCCGAGCACAGAUAAUCAGACUGAUCUGAACUCACUGGUUCUGGUGGAUGGGAUACUUCCUAGGGAGCUCAGACAGUUAAUGGUCCUCAAGUCAUUUGGAGGUAAAUUGAGG